GUGGCACCUUAUCACCGCCCAUGGUUGGGGCCUCCUGAUCUGUCCCUUCCAGCUCCCCACAACUCAUACAGAGCCUAGGACACACUCAGCCACCUAAGGGCUGGAGUGAGUGCAUCUAAACAGCCUGGGAAAUAACCCUGGGGAGACCUGAUUGACGAGAACUUCAACUUGGAGCAAAACCCUGCUACCUGUGCAUUCCAGAGCCAAAAAGACACCCUCUCUUGAUUAUCUGCGUCACCACUCUGUUGAAUCACUGCUUCUAGACGGAACUCAUAUGACUUUUCCCCCAGCGUGGUUCUUACUACCUCCUCUCAAUCAACUCACAGGGACCCAGUGUGAUCAGGCACACACAACCACUUUGGAAAAAUACCCACAUCCAUGAGCCAUGCUGCAUGGACCACGUUAGGGAUUGCAGGGCCAGGUGUUAAACAAAGACACAUUUUCUGCCAUCAAAGAGCCUAACUUUUCCCCAAAAGAAGCAGAAAGGAGUGGCUGAGUUAGGCUGGAUGACCUCAAGGGGUUCUGCCAUUUUGAUUUUUGAGUUUCCCUGGAACAAACUGUGUGGAAUCAGUGUCACCACACUGAUCACACAGGGUAUGGUCUGUGUCUGUUUCCUUGAGCAGUUUCUUCUUUGAAGGAGUCUCUUGACACCUGUGAGGCUCCUCUUCCAUUAGGACUUGUGGAUGCUACUCUUCUUAAAAAGGUGAGACAGGCCUGUGGCAGAUCGCUCCUUCCGAGGACAUCAGCUCAGCUCCUGUACCCCUACCUUCAGCAGAAGCAGAAGCUUCUAAGCCAACCUGCAUGUCUUCCCUACCUUUCAAUGUGGCAUCAUCACCUCUCAGGUUUCAAAGACCAGAAACGAGCAUGAUGAGCAGGAAAGACAGAGGCUUUCAGAAUCAAGCCCACAAAGGUUCCAGUCUGAGAGCCUAGAAUGGUGUCUGCACACAGCAGGCACUUGAUAAAUGCCUGAUAAAUGAAAUUCUGGUUCUGCCGCUCACCAAGAGUACAUUUUGUGUAAGUUUUUUUUGGUUUUGGUUUUGGUUGUGGUUUUUGCUUUUCAGGGCUGAGCUCUCAGCAUGUGGAAGUUCCCAGGCAAGAGGUUAAAUUGGAGCAACAGCCGACACCACAGCCACAGUAACAUGGUAUCAGAGCCACAUCUGUGACCUAUCCCACAGCUCACAGCAAUGCUGGAUCCUCAACCCUCUGAGCAAGGCCUAGGAUCGAACGCACAUCCUCAUGGAUACUAGUCGGAUUUAUUUUUGUUGUGCCACACGGGAGCUCCCCAUUUUUUUUAAAGAGGCUUAAAGUUGGGAGGCUUAAAUCAUUAUUCCCAUUUUGCCCAGGUGACCAUCAUUCCAAGUUUUAUAAGUGGCUGGAGUCUGAUGGUGGAAGUACUGAGAAAACCUAUGGGGCAGGUGGACCAGCCUGGCUGCCCAGAAGCCCUGCCUGAGCCCCACUGCGGACUUCAUCCCCAGUCCCAGCAAGCAGUGACCCAGUCCCUGGCCAGGCCCAGGCUUAGAAGGUCCUCCCCAAGGUCAGAAGGACAAGCCCAGAAGAUGGGAAAGAAAAGGCAACCAUUCCUCACACACUAAGAUUCUCUGACUGCAGCCAGGCUACCAAGUUGUAGACGCACUUAGAGUGUGUGCACUGGGAGUUGCUGAGACCACGGUGGCAGUUUUGGAGUGUUUGGCUCCUGGACACCUCUGAGCGCAGGAGCCCCAGGUGCACAGACACUUUGCUGGCGUGUCUCACUUUCCCCUGGAUGGAAAUCCAGACCACAAUAUUGCUCUGAAACCCAGGGAGCCUUUUGAAGUCAUUGUGUUCCGACUUCAGACCACGUACACACAAAACCGCUGGCCUUCAUUAGGGGGAGAAAAAGCUGUUGGAUGGUUUGGCUACUAACUGCUUUUUUGGCAUUUUCGCAAUGGCUUUCAAUAACAAGGCACCCAUGGAAAGGCAGGGGUGGUGGAGGGGCGAUACAGCAGCAACAAAAGGGAGGGAUCUGGAAAAAUGGGAAACUUCCAUCUGCGAUAAGAAACCCUUAUGGCUCUUAUUAGGCUUUCUGCUCAGGCAGGGAGGUCCCCUGGCUUUAAUAAAAUCUCAUUUUCCCCUUAAACUCUCCCAUGUGGUAGGCGCCCAGAGUUUAAUGGGGACAGAAGAGAUGAUUCCAACCUGCGGCUCAGGUGGCCGGGGGGCCCCCCCACCUCCAGGCCCGCAGCCGGGAUUGAUUGCAGAGCGGCGGGGCCAGCGACACGCAAGCUGCAGCGCAUCAGAGAAUAAUCACCCGCCGUUUGAUGCUGACCCGGGCCAAACGAAGAUGGCAGCCUGGCUCCCGUGCGUCCCCGCUCCGAGGAGGGAGCAGCUCAUCCCCGUCUCUAUUAAGAGUGGACCCAAGGAGUAGGUCGACCAGCUCCAACAUGUGAUUUAUUAGGGGGCAUCUGCAUUUGAAAGGCUCUGUGGCUUUCAUCUCUGCCUGAUUCCUGAAGGUUCCCACCAGCAUUGGGGGAUUGUGUUCAUUAGGACCCGUGAGUGGGGGUGAAGGCAUCUCCCCCGUCACAUGCACUUCUGUCCAGGGGUCUCACUCCCAGUUCUGAGGGGCUGAUCCACGAAGCCUAAUACCGUCCGACAGACUCCUUCAGAAGACAAGCCGGAUGUCAGCGGCGAAGCUGUUGGGAGAUGCCAAGCCAGAGCCAGCAGAGGCUGGAGGGAGGGAGAGCGGGAACAGCCGGUAAUUAAAGUCGCGGGUGGGUACCAGAAUGCAUCCAUCAGAAAUCCACAGAGAUGAACAUAGCCCGUGACGGGAGCUGCAGUUGGUUCUGGGGUUUUUUGGUUUGUUUUUGGCUGCACUCAUGGCGUACAGAUGUUCCCAGGCUGGGGGCUGAACUUACACCUGAGAUCUGACAAUGCCAGGUCCUUAACCCCCGAGCCACCAGGGAACUCUUGGCUCUGGGAUUUUAAUUCCACUAUUGCAAAAGGAGCCCCACUUAUUAAGCUCUUGAGCCCUAGCCCGAGGACAGUCAGAAACGUCUCGACUAGCAACACGAUUUCGACUUCUAGACAAAUCUGCGUGAAGCGCUUGCACCAACAGGGAGCAUAUCACUUGCAUCUGGCAAUUGUAUUAUCAAUUCCAACAGGCACGCUUGCUCUUAAAUCCACAAAAAUGUUCCGGCUUCCUCCAGGGAACAAAACACUGGAGGUGGUAAGGCACGCGAGAGUCAGUUCCGGCCAUCACCUGACAAGUUAAUUUCUGCCCAGGACGAGCUCUCCAUCUCUUUCAAGGUGUCAGAGAGCUUCUCUGAUCAACAGCAGGCUCCAGUGUGCACGGGAAAAGACGGACAGAGGCAAGACUGCCCUCCCAUUUCCGUCCUGGAGAGCGCGGGCUGACAUUGGCAAGGCCUCUGAUGGGGACGCCCACCCUGUCUGUGCUCCUUAUCCCAAAGCAAAGAGUGGAGCUGGGAUUUUGGGUCCUGGUGGAGGCCUGGGCAGGGCCAAGGUAGGAAAGGAGCCCGGUCAAACCCAGACUUCCUGGGGCAGGUGUUAACCAGACAAACUUAUCUAGAAGCAUGGCAUCUUGGCCGCCGUCUUGGAGGUUCUCCAGAGACUGAAACCGCUUGCUCACUCGGACCUGGCCCAGCCCUUAGAAAGAUUUAGGACAACAUCAUAAAACUCAGAGACAUCUUCCUAAGGGUCCAGACGUCUGGCUGUUCCUCCCCGAGAAGUGGAAGUGUCUCUCGAGGCUCAAGGAAAAUGCCACGUGGCAGGGGUCCCCUCAACUCCGUUCACCGAAAACACAUGCUGCGUGCCCUCUGGUUGAAUGCCGCUGGGGACCAAAGACGGUGUCGAUGGCCCUGGCCCACACAGCCUCACAGAGGGCCCAGGAGGCAAAGCAAACACUUGAUCAAAUGAUCACAACCCAGCUCCGCUCAAUAUGGGAAUGAAGAGGGGCCCAGCAGCUGUCUAUGAAAGCAGGGGAUUUGUUCUGCUCCCAGGUAGGGAGGGAGGGACAGAUCAGAGACCACGUUCUAGAGGAGGUGACAUCUGAGCUGGGAAGGAGGUCCUAGAACCAUCAAAAGGGUGGGAAAGAGGCUGUGUGCAGCAGGGAGGUGGGAAACAACAAGGUACAGCUCUGAGCUGCUGGAGGAUAGGGCCUGGGGGACCCUGCUUGCAAUUUAGAGGAGCCAAAAGUUAACAGGGACCAAGAGAGGCAGGAGGCAAUAUUUCCUUACAGUUCGUGGACAGCAGGUCUGUGGGUGUGACCUCAGACAGACGCCUGAAACUUAGAGAACUUCAGUUUCCUCAUUGGUGAGAGGGGCCUGGACACUUGCCCUGCCUGCACAGUGUCUCCCUGAGAAUCAGAUCCAGGUAAGAUCUGAAUGGCGUUACUCUUGCUGCUUUGUAGAAAUGCAGAGAGGGGUCAUUACUCAGCACUGAGUGUGCCGGCAUCUGCCCAGAUACUGUUCAAAGUUGCUGGAAAAAUCCUUGGGCUUUGCAGCCAGGGAGGAAAAGUUUCUAUUGCACAACCAGCCAUGGACUUGGGGCGGCGGAGGCAGAGCACCCCAGACUCUGCGGCUGCUCCACACAGAGUCCCGUACCCGCUGCAUCCCGAUGAAGUGGCUAUUUCUCCUCAUUUACACGCCACUCUCCCAAAUGCCUUCCUUUACAGGUGCUAUUUUGAAGGCCCUUCAAACCCUUUGUCUAUAAACAGCAAUAUCAGCCAAGGCACUUUCAGCAAGAAGCAACCACAAGGAAACGGAAUUGCGGCUGUGAAAU
rnacentral:lncRNA from 1 species